rnacentral:rRNA from 1 species
UACGGAGGGAGCUAGCGUUGUUCGGAAUUACUGGGCGUAAAGCGCGCGUAGGCGGAUGUUCAAGUCGGGGGUGAAAUCCCGGGGCUCAACCCCGGAACUGCCUCCGAUACUGGACGUCUGGAGGACGGGAGAGGCGAGUGGAAUGCCGAGUGUAGAGGUGAAAUUCGUAGAUAUUCGGCGGAACACCCGUGGCGAAGGCGGCUCGCUGGUCCGUUUCUGACGCUGAGGCGCGAAAGCGUGGGGAGCAAACAGG